UAGUUAUAAAGAGUUUACUGCUGAAAUAUUCAGUGCAUAUCACAUUAUGUCAGUGCUGUCCACUGGACAAACCUUAUAUGUAUUGGGAACAUUUCUCUACAGCAAUUUCUUAUUAGUUCUUGUCUUCCAUAUACACUGAUAAAAUAUAUCUGCAAAAGUCAGCCAAUAUCAGCCAUGCUGUUUACUGUUCAGGUUGUGUGAAAGUGACAUGAAUCUGUCUUGUAUAUCUUCCUCUUCAGACUCCCACUCUGUUGCUGACCCCCAGUCCUCUGCUGUCCAACAUCCACUUCUGGAGCACACUCAGUCCAGUGGCUCCACUCAGCCCAGCCACACGACGACAGGGAGCCCACCUGUUCCAAUUUCCGUCUGUCCUCACCCCCCAGUUCCAGAUCCCUGUACACAGUAUGGAUGGGACCAACACACCUGGCCCCAUUUCACCAGACCCUCAAAAGACAUAGGAUUAACCCCCCACAGCAUCACAUUUUGGACCCAGACAGCCAGACACUUUCCCCCCUCCAGCUCCAUCUCCUGCACCCACAUUCAGGACAGUAAUGUGGAAGCUCAGUCAUUGCCAUUCCCCUUUACUCUGGUGCUUUAAAGUUCGCUGCCACAGAAUUCACACUACAAUCUGCUGUGUGGAGGGAAGACCUUGAACGAUUUUGACAGUCCAGGUUUGAUGGAUGAGGGUAACACAUUCAGUUUGUUUCAUAGCUUUUGCACCCUGAGGUUGCUAUUCUGCACUCAUACAUACUGAUGCUGUUGUUCUGUAUGCACUUAGGAAUUCAUUUUGUCUGGCUUUUUGGGAUCCUCAUUCAUGUCACAACAAUUUGAAAAAGGGAGGAAUUUCCAUGGCAACAGUGUAUGCAUGUGGAUUGGACCCUCAGUAGACACAAUCUGCUUCAUACUUGGACACACAGACCAGUGCAAUUGCAGAUAUGUGAAUCUUUCCUUUUAUAGAAUCCCCGUCAUAUCUUGUCCAAAAGUGUUACUGCCAAAAAAGGAUACUUUUCCAUUUUCAGUUAUCAGUUCCUAACCAGCUUUCUCCCCUGCUGACAGCAGUUCUGUUCCUUUUUGUGCUUUGUCCUUAACCAGUACACUUGUUGAUGGGUAGCGCUUUAACCUGACAACUUGCAUGUUUACCUGCAACUGUUUUAUCUUCUACCUAGCUCUCAACCUGAACUUAAAUGCCAGGCCUUGCCUCAGCUGCUUCGAAAUGUUGGCUAAUUGGCCAUAUCCAACAGAACUUUUACCUUGACUGACUUAUUGUGACAUGGCCAUAAUAACCCAAGUUGAACCUUGAAUCAUGCCUCUAUGUAACUGUUCUUAUGUGUGUAUAUUAAAAGUAGAAAUAGCAGUGAAAGCCAGUGUGGCCUGGCCUGCCUCCCGCCGGUAAGCUUUCAUGUGGGAAUGAAAGAAUGUGAAGCCAUAACUCUCUCUGAGCAUUGACACUGCAGGCAACAACUCACAAAUCUUGUAUGUCUUACUGCUCUGAUGUUGCCUUUUGUAACUUAACUCUACAUUGUUAAAGGCAGCCAGACUUCAGUUAUUUUAGAGACAAUUAUUUUAAGUUUUUUUAAAUACAAGUUGUAGUGAAAUGGCAAAUUUUCAAUCAAUAGUGUGACAGUUUGGGAAAUACACUUUGUUUUGUGACCGGAAAUUAAACAAGAAGAUCGUUAUCGCUCUUAUGUCUGUAUGGUAAAUAUAUAACUGGAACCACCAGUCGGUUAACUUGGCUUUGCAGGACUGAAAUGGGGAAAGAGCUAGCCUACAGAAGGUAACAAUAUGUGCACCUCUUAACGUCACCAAUUAACACUUUAUAUCCUGUGUGCUUAAUACAUACAUAAACAAAAAUGUAAAACAUCAAUGCAAGCUUUAAGCUUUUCAGUAGCUGUCUCCCACUGUUUCUCUAUGUUUAUGGACUGCUGGCCCCAGAGGUGCGUUUACAGUGCAGACAUAAUGGGUAUCUAACUUUUGGUAAUAUAUAAGCAAGUGUAUUUCCCAACAUUUAUUUAAACCCAGAUUGAACCUCCAAAUCUUACAAGCUAGACUCUCAGUGUAGCAGUCUAGCUUUCACCUUUGCUUCAGCUUAGCAAUCUGAAAUACACCAACCUUUAAUCCUGAGGACUGUACAACCCUCUGGAACUUUAAGCACCUUCCUUUCCACUAAAACCUGCUCCUCUAGAUUAUCAGCCAUGAAAGGUUUGCACCUGUUUUGUAUAUGACUUUGAAGCCAUAUGUCUGAAACACAGACUCCAGAGGUAGAUCCCACCUUUCUAUGCUAUUAAACACGGAUAUUGUACUUCACACUUGUUUACACAAUACUUAGAUAGGACACGCUAGUGUGCGUGUUUACCUAAGUGUCACUUUGUAACCCAGGGAUGGAUGACCAGCAAAUCUUGUACGGGGGAACUUGUGCUAGUUUUUAGUCAACUAACAGACAUUGCCCCCCAAACUGCAGUCCAUCACAUUGAUAUAUGGUGCCUUACCACAGCCAAGCCCAAGUUUCUCUCCCAUGUGUGGAGUUCUAUCAUUUAAAAAUUAGUAUAGAGCUAACAAUAUACGACAGCGUUCCUGUUUGUUUUAAUGCCAUAUCUUUGCAUAGACCAAACCAGAGCCCCAGGAGUUUGGAGUAAAACUUCAGAGGGGUGUUUUAUGUGAGCUUACUGCAGCUCAUAUGGUCUGCCACAGCUUCUGCACUGCAGGACCUUAAAAUGUGCCGCAGUGUUCGUCAGGUUGCAUUACUGUAAAUACAGACAGCAACAUGGGUUAAUAUGCAUAGCUUAUAAACUGAAUCAGGCCAUGUUUUAAGAUUUGGCAGCCAUAUCUCUUUCCAACCUGCUUAUAAAUGUUUGUGUUAACAGAUCUACUAGGAAAAAAUAUAUAAAUAUAUAUAUAAAACCUGAUUAUCAUUUUUGUGUAAACUCUUUAUUUUCCUGUAACACCAAUAGAAUUUUAAGAUUAAUUUCUAUUUUUGUAACGGCCAGAUAGUUAGAUGUCUGCUAUUUUGGGUUCUCUGAUUUAAUGUUCUCUUCGCGCAUGUGUUUCUUGAUGUUGUUUUCCUCUUAUGGAGUUGGGAGGCGGCUGCCCCAUGGUGGCAUUGGCUUUUUUUGGGAAUCAAAGCCUUAUGGGGAGAAAUCUAAAUCUCUGUUUUAUAUGUAAAGUGUUUUGAUAUAGUGUUGAUAUUGUACAUGCAGAUGUUGUGAUGAAACGUUUGCACUUAAAAUUUCGGGGUUCCUGUUGUAUUGGAUUCUGUCGCUUUUCUAUGACUCAGAUUUCCUCUUUGAUGACACAUUGUUGUCGUUUGCUUACUGAGAAAUGUAUUUUUUCCCAAAGGGAGGAUACGAUUAUGCACUUAGUAUUUUAUACCACAAAAAAGGGUUAAAUUUAAUCUUCUACAUAUCAAAUAAUUGACAAUGAUUGGAAUUAGGCACGACCACAAAUAUUUAUUUAUUUGAAUUUAUAGUCAAGCCCAAUAGAAUUGGUCGCUUAAAUUGCAUUUUUGCAUUAACUCUAUGAAAUAGCUCAAUAAUGACCUUAAAGUCCAUUUAAAACUUUCCUCCAUUAAGUCAUCUUAAACUUGUCAUUUGAAUAGUUCUUCAUUUGUAUCUUCUGAUGAUGUUUUUCCUUCAACUUACCUUGAAAUGUAAGAUCUUGUUUUAAAAAGAAAUGACCCAGUUCUUGCUUCGUUCUGUCAAGUUCUCUAUUUGUUUGAUGCUUUUUCAAAUGUUUACAAGCUACUGUCUUAAGUGGCAUAUUGAUGUGUGAGAGGUGUAGAGGAAGUGUUUAUAAUGAAAGAGAUAGGUGAGACCAAUAAUAAAAGAUCUCAAGCUAA